GGCCUGGUGGUCUAGUAGUAUGAUUCCUUCUUAGGGUGCUUCGUCACGUGAAUGGAGGAGGCCCCGGGUUCAAUUCCCGGCCAGGCCC